rnacentral:rRNA from 1 species
CCCCUCAAGAUGAGAUUUCCCAAUUAGUAAGACCCCUUGAAGACGACGAGGUAGAUAGGUUGGGGGUGGAAGUGCAGUAAUGCAUGGAGCUGACCAAUACUAAUCGGUCGAGGGCUUAUCCUAAA